UACGUAGGCAGCGAGCGUUGUUCGGAGUUACUGGGCGUAAAGAGUGCGUAGGCGGUGCUCUAAGUUUGGUGUGAAAUCUCCCGGCUUAACUGGGAGGGUGCGCCGAAAACUGGAGUGCUUGAGUGUGGGAGAGGUAAGCGGAAUUCCUGGUGUAGCGGUGAAAUGCGUAGAUAUCAGGAGGAACACCUGUGGUGUAGACAGCUUACUGGACCAUGACUGACGCUGAGGCACGAAAGCGUGGGGAGCAAACAGGAUUAGAAACCCGCGUAGUCC
rnacentral:rRNA from 1 species